CAUACACAUUUUAACAAUACAUAAUUUCACGUGUUAUACUUUCCUACAGAUAAUUUGGAAGGUCUGAGUGAGUCCCAAAUAGCAGGGAAGAAGUUGUUCUUAGUUCAAGGAGACAAACCUCAACUGAUGAACUGGGAGGAGUAUGGACUGAGGAUUAGUGUACCGAGGAUAGUCUAUCAGCAUCAGAGACUGUAGAAGUAUCAGUACUAGCUCUUGUAGGAGGACACUUCAAGUUUUCUGAUAAUACUAGACUAGUGAGUGCAGUGUAUGCAAUAUCAACCAGUCCACUCCCCAAGUCACUGAGGAUAGAAAUGCAACACUGUAUUGAUCUCAGUGAUCCUUCUUUAUCCAAGUAUCUUAAAUUUGCUGUUGCUCCAGUUCACACAGCUAGUCUUCCUUACCAGUUCUCACUAAUUGAAGGAGGAGAGUUUCCAGCAUACCAGAGAUAUGGAUGGAUUGAACGAAGCAAGUUCUGUCAAUUAGCUAUUGUUGGGGAGGAAGAAGAGGAAAAUGGAGGAGGUAGGAAUGAGGAGAGGAAGAUGGAGACUCAGGAGGUGAGGGAGGGAAAGGAAAGGGACAGACAACAGGAGGAGAGGGACAAGGAGCAGGAGGACAAGGAGGAGCAGGUGGAGUAGCUGGAGGAAAUGAAGAAGAGAAAGAUGAUGAGAAUGGAACAAUUGCUUUAGAAUCAUGUGAUCAACCAAGCACUUCAUCAUCACUUAUUGUAUCUACUCAUUCCACUGGUAUACCUGAAGCUACAGUUUAUGCUGGACAAGUGUUUUAUGAACGACCAGAUUUAAUGAGAUUCACUGCUGCUAGAGAUUUGAAUGCCUUACGUCAGUAUAUGAAGCAGACAU